CUGCUGUCUCGGAAGCAAGCCGUUCUUAUUCUCGAUAUUAACCAAUCGCAGUCAAGCAGAAAAAAAUAGGUCGGAGUUCAACACCAACAACAACACCUAAAGACAACAAUAAUAUAAGCAGCGGCAGCAGCAGCAUCAACAGCAGCGGCAGCAGUUGCAAGAACAACAAUUACAAAGCCUGUUCUAUGAAGGUCAUCCUGACCCCGAAAGACGAGGAAUGCUGUGUUAAAUGUCAAUGAGAUGAAGCACCAGAGGAUGGAGUUAAUCUAGUUGCUGUUGAUUUGCUGAUGUUGAGAUACAUGGAAUAAAGAAGAAGAAG